GAUGAACGCUGGCGGCGUGCCUAAUACAUGCAAGUCGAGCGAACAGACGAGGAGCUUGCUCCUCUGACGUUAGCGGCGGACGGGUGAGUAACACGUGGAUAACCCACCUAUAAGACUGGGAUAACUUCGGGAAACCGGAGCUAAUACCGGAUAAUAUAUUGAACCGCAUGGUUCAAUAGUGAAAGACGGUUUUGCUGUCACUUAUAGAUGGAUCCGCGCCGCAUUAGCUAGUUGGUAAGGUAACGGCUUACCAAGGCAACGAUGCGUAGCCGACCUGAGAGGGUGAUCGGCCACACUGGAACUGAAACACGGUCCAGACUCCUACGGGAGGCAGCAGUAGGGAAUCUGCCGCAAUGGGCGGAAGCCUGACGGAGCAACGCCACGUGAGUGAUGAAGGUCUUCGGAUCGUAAAACUCUGUUAUUAGGGAAGAACAAAUGUGUAAGUAACUAUGCACGUCUUGACGGUACCUAAUCAGAAAGCCACGGCUAACUACGUG
rnacentral:rRNA from 1 species